GAGGGUAUAGCUCAGUGGUAGAGCAUGUGCUUAGCAUGCACAAAGUCCUGAGUUCAAUCCUCAGUGCCUCCA
rnacentral:tRNA from 1 species